GGUCGUAAUAAUCGAUCGCUCCCCGUAAACCUAGGAACCCUUCUUCCCUUAAUCCAUGUCCUCCUCCUCUGAUCGGGGUCCCGCCGUUGUCUUUAAAGAUGCCUUCAGUGGUGGUAGGCGCACCCCGAUCGGAGCUGCUAGACAAGCCGGUGAUGGCCGACGAGGAGACCGGCGAAUCCUCCUCCUCUUAGUUUGCUUUCGGAGGUGGUAGCGGCACCCGAUCGAGGCUACUGUAACACAACGACAACGAGUCCGUCGCUCCCCGUAAACCUAGUAACCCUUAACCCCUUGAUCCACCACCUCCUCGUCCUCUCCCGAUCGGGAUCUCCGUUCUUUGCUUUCAAGAUCCUUCCAGCGGUGGUAGCACACCCCGAUGAUUACUGCUGGAACUCGACGACGACCAGCUGGGAUUGGAUAGCGAUGGCCCAGAAGAAGAGUGGUCGGUCCUCUCCUCUUUGAUCUGUUUCUAGGCCUGUUACAAAUUCCAUGACCGAUUUGAUCUCUUCCUCCUUUCUUAUUGUUGUCUCUAACAAUCUUUAGAUCUUAAGAACAUGUAGUUUCUCUCUUGGUUUUGAUGCAGAUCUCUUGUAGAAUGUUCUCGUUUAUGUGAUAUUGUGAAAUUACAGGAACAAGGUUCGUUUGUAUAUGAAUGGGAAGUCUGGCGCUGGUUAUCA